ensembl:miRNA gga-mir-1655 gga-mir-1655
GGGGAAACGUGUUUCAACACUGUGUCAGCUGGUCUUGGGUAAAUGCUAUUGUUCCUGCAGUAUUUACCCAUGGUGGGCUGAUACAGUGCUGGAGCACAGCCUC